ACGCUGGCGGCGUGCCUAAUACAUGCAAGUAGAACGCUGAAGGAGGAGCUUGCUUCUCUGGAUGAGUUGCGAACGGGUGAGUAACGCGUAGGUAACCUGCCUGGUAGCGGGGGAUAACUAUUGGAAACGAUAGCUAAUACCGCAUAACAGUAGAUGUUGCAUGACAUUUGCUUAAAAGGUGCAAUUGCAUCACUACCAGAUGGACCUGCGUUGUAUUAGCUAGUUGGUGGGGUAACGGCUCACCAAGGCGACGAUACAUAGCCGACCUGAGAGAGUGAUCGGCCACACUGGGACUGAGACACGGCCCAGACCCCUACGGGAGGCAGCAGUAGGGAAUCUUCGGCAAUGGACGGAAGUCUGACCGAGCAACGCCGCGUGAGUGAGGAAGGUUUUCGGAUCGUAAAGCUCUGUUGUAAGAGAAGAACGAGUGUGAGAGUGGAAAGUUCACACUGUGACGGUAUCUUACCAGAAAGGGACGGCUAACUACGUGCCAGCAGCCGCGGUAAUACGUAGGUCCCGAGCGUUGUCCGGAUUUAUUGGGCGUAAAGCGAGCGCAGGCGGUUAGAUAAGUCUGAAGUUAAAGGCUGUGGCUUAACCAUAGUACGCUUUGGAAACUGUUUAACUUGAGUGCAAGAGGGGAGAGUGGAAUUCCAUGUGUAGCGGUGAAAUGCGUAGAUAUAUGGAGGAACACCGGUGGCGAAAGCGGCUCUCUGGCUUGUAACUGACGCUGAGGCUCGAAAGCGUGGGGAGCAAACAGGAUUAGAUACCCUGGUAGUCCACGCCGUAAACGAUGAGUGCUAGGUGUUAGGCCCUUUCCGGGGUUUAGUGCCGCAGCUAACGCAUUAAGCACUCCGCCUGGGGAGUACGACCGCAAGGUUGAAACUCAAAGGAAUUGACGGGGGCCCGCACA
rnacentral:rRNA from 1 species